rnacentral:rRNA from 1 species
UACAGAGGGUGCGAGCGUUGUUCGGAAUUAUUGGGCGUAAAGCGCUUGUAGGCGGCACGUCAAGUCGCGUGUGAAAUCCCCAGGCUUAACCUGGGAAGUGCGCGCGAAACUGACGAGCUUGAGUGCCGGAGAGGGUCGCGGAAUUCCCGGUGUAGAGGUGAAAUUCGUAGAUAUCGGAAGGAACACCGGUGGCGAAAGCGGCGCGCUGGACCUUUACUGACGCUGAGGCGCGAAAGCCAGGGGAGCAA